rnacentral:rRNA from 1 species
GGGUUAGCGGCGGACGGGUGAGUAACACGUAGGCAACCUGCCUUCAAGGCUGGGAUAACAUCCGGAAACGGAUGCUAAUACCGGAUACACCACUUCGCUGCAUGGCGAAAUGGGGAAAGGCGGAGCAAUCUGCCACUUGGAGAUGGGCCUGCGGCGCAUUAGCUAGUUGGUGGGGUAACGGCUCACCAAGGCGACGAUGCGUAGCCGACCUGAGAGGGUGAUCGGCCACACUGGGACUGAGACACGGCCCAGACUCCUACGGGAGGCAGCAGUAGGGAAUCUUCCGCAAUGGACGAAAGUCUGACGGAGCAACGCCGCGUGAGUGAUGAAGGUUUUCGGAUCGUAAAGCUCUGUUGCCAGGGAAGAACGAGUGGGAGAGUAACUGCUCCUGCUAUGACGGUACCUGAGAAGAAAGCCCCGGCUAACUACGUGCCA